GGCGGCUUUCUGCAGGGCCAGGAUAUACUUACUUUUCUGUAAACCAACUCUUCCUUAGCGCAGGAGAGGUGUCAAAGAGCUGGCGCGUCUCCAGAGCCCCGGGAGGAAGGCUGUAACGGCAGCCCCAUCGUAGACAGGGACAUUCGCAUCCCGAGCCCUGGAUCUCUGAAAACCAGCCCAGAAUUUGGAAGCUGGAAGGAACUUUAGAUCGUCCAUUCUGAGUGUCUCUCUUCGCUGGCGUUUUCCCACUGAGGUUAUGUAAACAUGAAGAGGAGCCUACAAGUGUCAAGGAAAAAACGACAGCUAACCACAGGGCAGGCCAUGGGCAAGAUAUCUCAGUGUUCUCCGCUCUCAUAGGUCAGGUCAUGACCCCCAGGAGACCUGGAGGACUGAAUGCUGCUGUCCCCAAGGAGGAGGCUGCCGUCUUAUCCCAGGAGGGAGAGCAGGUGAAGUCCCCAGGGGAGGAAGCACCUAGCCCCAUUCCUGCUGAGCAGGAGGUGGCAGGUACCCCAGACUGGGAGGUAAGGACAGCCCAGGGCUUCAACUGAACGUCUCCGGCAUGGGUCCGACUGAGCAGCCAUGGAGCACUGCAGAGUGGGAGGCAGCAGGGCAGGGAGGCAGUGCUGGAGGCUGGCUCAACCCCAAGACCAGCAGGCCAAGCUGCCAUCCCAGGGGAGCGAGGACGUCUGUGCAGAGCUGAGAGGCAGCAGCCAUAUGUGAACAGACUGGGCCUCAUCCUGGCCCCACCGACUUUGUGUGGACAGAGCCUGUUUCCCUGUCUGUGCAACACAGAACCUGCCUGAUCUCACUGCUGGAUCCCUCUUCUUCCUGCCAGGAAAAUAAAAAGGUUCAAAAAGAAGUUGCUGCGUAUCCAUCUGGUAAGACCACGGACCCAGCGUGCUGCAGGGGGCUGCUUCCACCCUGCUUCUCAGUGACUGCCAGGGUCACAGACACCCCAGCCCUUUCCCACCUUCCUGACCUGGGGAGGGGAGGGAAGCAGCCCAGGAGUCAGGUGCCUUGACCUUCCUGGGAGCCUCCUUGGGUGGGCAGGAACUCUGGGCCACUCCCCUGAGCUGGCUGCAUCCCUACCUUUCACCACAGCUGACCUGGCCCCGGGGCAUCUCAGAGGGAGGGUUGGUUGCUCCCAGGAGGGGACUCACAAGGUUUCUACUUUGCAGAGGCCUCUGAGGACAGCAAAGAGCAAAGGCCCUGGGACCGGGUCUCCGUGCCCAUGACAGAGCUCUGGCUGGACUGGUUCUGAGCCUCUAACACCCCCAAGACUCAGAACCGUGAAGAAAAUCUUUCCAAUAAAUCCAAGAGUUGCUGCUGCUAUAGGCCAGGCUGCCACCUUUCGGGGCCUCCGUCUUCAGACAAACCCAGCCUGGCUUCAUCCACACUCCCUGUCCCCACAGCUGCAGGAACAGCACUUCCUGCCACGGAGCCGUGUGACCACAGUGGAUUGUCUCUGGAGGGGCCCAAGGGGGCCC
rnacentral:lncRNA from 1 species